UCUUGCUAUGCUCUCCACACUAACAUCAAUUAUGUAGUCCCAAGUAGCAUUACAGGUGCAUUGACCUCAGAGAGUGCCACUUUUGAAAGGCUGUGAUUUGAAAGCUGGACCAAGGAAAAGAAGAAGCUAACUGCACUGAUGUGUCAGCUCCUAGAGAGGAUCUUCCUUAGUCCUUCCCAACAUCCUCUGUCCGGGCUGGGUGUUUCCUCAAACAAAUUUUCUCUUGGGUAUUCGUCAAGAACCUCAACCCGUACCUCCUACUGAGAUUUUCAAGUGGUCAGAAGAGAGAGCUUUGGGCGACAUCUCCUUACAUUUAGUGUGAAAUAUGUUCAUGAGAGUUGCAAAGAUGUGGUCAGAGAAGACAGAGCAUCCUCCUUACACACAGAGCGUAGUGCUUUGGGGGAAAAAGUCAACUUUACUUACCAGAGAAACCAUUACCAUUGAUGAAAUAAAGUCAUUUCAUCGUUUACUGCACAAGAUUCAUUUGAAGGGAAAGAUGCCACAGAACAAGCAGAUGUUAAAGCUAAAGGAAAAAUAUGGCGAAUUCAUCCUAUUUUCUCAUUUCCUGAAAGACUCAUCCAGCUGUGUACCAGGACAGGUGUGCCCUGACCUGGGUGUCAUAGCUGGCUAUGGAAAUCACUCCAGUUCUCCAGACCCACAAGAACACAGGAAUCACUCUUAAAGAGGAAAUAGGAGCCAGGGUCCUAGGACAGAAGGUAAAUCUAUUUGUGCAUGGCCCUGUACUCUCUGGAAGUAUUGCUGAAUACACUGCACAUUCUCAAGUCUGGAAAGGUGAAUCAUCCCAACAGGUACUUGUAAUCUCUUCUACUCACUCAGGAGGUUAAGGAAGGAGAGCCCAGGAGUUCAAGGUAAGCCUGGGCAACACAGGGCUUUCUUAACCUCUUAUCCAGAAAGUUUACAGAGCCUUUCUUGUUAUCCUGGCCUGAACACAUUCUGUUUUUUAUGCAUUUCUAGAUAGUGAUGGUGAACACUGCUAGCUAAUGUUUCUUGUUCUCGGUAAUGAGUAUAAUAGGGUCCUCAGCAUGGACUUGUCAACAUAAGGAGAGCUGUGCACGAAUCUGCUAGGAUGUGACACCUUGAAAAACAUCUCAAAAGUAAGCACUAAAUUCUCAGGUCAGUCAUGGGGAAGGGCCUAGGCCUGGCCCAGGAUGAUGUGGUAGACUUUGGGGAGCCCCUUUUGAGGGCCUUACCCUGUCUGGGGAGUGGAGGAGGGAUGGCUAGGGGCAGGUGGGAUGUUGGGGGGAGGGGAAGGAGAGGGAGAAGGGAUUGACAUGUGAAACAAGCUUGUUCCUAAUUUGAACUAAUAAAAUAAAAUAAAAUAUUCUCA
rnacentral:lncRNA from 1 species